GAGGAAGGAAGGAAGGAGGAAAAGAGGAAGGAAGGAAGGAAGGAAGAAGGAAGGAAGGAAGGAAGGAAGGAGGAAAAGAGGAAGGAAGUAAGGAGACAAGAAAGGAAGUGAGGAACAGUCAAAAGAGAUGGGGUCAAUUUGACCCGGGAGCACAACAUGAGGGUUAUCUAACCUGCUACAGCGACAGAAAAACUCAUCAAACUCAACCUGAACUCAACAAGGUCCAAGCUAUGACUCGGCACAUUAACGUCACCAAAAAAAACAUACAAAAUAAAAUAAAAAGAGGAAAUAAAAGACAAAAGGAAUUACUGUAUAAUGUAUAUAAGUGUUACAAAAACUAUAAUUCAGCUUUAAAAAGUAUGUAAUUACGUGUUAAAGUAGGAAUAUUUAACAAAAUAGCUCAUACAAAACUUCCAAUACAUGAAACUACAUUUAAAGCAUUUAUUUAUGUGUGUGUGUGUGUGUGUGUGUGUGUGUGUGUGUGUGUUUAUACGUCACUAGAAUCAGUGAACAGUCUGUAAGUUUAAAUCUGUAAAUACUUGAAGCAGGAGAGCAGAGAAGAAACAGAAACACCUUUUUAUCUCUUUUACUCUAAAACUGUGAUGACAGUCGAUCGAUCUUUUACAGACUUAUAUACGUCUUUUAUAUUUCAGUAUUUUGUCAUUAAAUACAUUUCUGCUCCUCUGGUUGUAUAAAAAACUCUCUCUGUGCUUCUUUUCUCUGUAUAAUAUUAAAGAAGGCUUAAAAUAAUAUAAUAUAAUACCCGACAGGCUCGUCACACACAGCUGUUUCUAAUUGUGUUAAAGGGUUUUUUAAAGUGAAUUAGUCCUUUAAUCUUAGUGAGAGGCCUUUUCUAGUUUAUAACUCAAUAACCUGAAACUUUAACGUGCAGCUAUUGACACAGUUUCUGCUUUUUUGUUUCCACCGUACGGCUUUAUGUUUGAUAUUAACUGGCUAAUUUUAGACAUUUUUCUUUCAUCUUUAUUAUAAAUUGAUUA